CCUCCCCCCCUCCCCUCCGUCUCUCGUGCGCUCCCGCCUACACGUGAAUGUGCGAGCUGUACACAAGCAAGAAACGGUCCUGCAACAGCGUGGAAGUGCAGGAUGCAGACGGAUCCUGCUCAACCUCCCAGUGUUGUGGUGCAGCAGGCCUCCCUCUCCCUCUCUCAUCUUUCAUUUGUGCUCAUGUGCUCUGAGGUAUUUUGGCAUCCAGUCCUUCUGUGAUUAUGGGCUGGUAUGUAUUUUUGAUAAGAGUGCUGAUGACAGGCGGCUGUGCUGAAAUAUGAAAUUAGUGCCCAGGAUUCUUGAGCAGACAUGGUCGUUAGGUGUGUACACAGAGAGCCAUCUCUCGAAACAUGUUACAGCUGAUGCAGCGGAUUUGUGGGGAGGCGAAGUCCUGUUUUCUUGCUUAUAGCGAGUAAAUACUUGUAAACCAGAGUUCGCGAGUACAAAUUAAGCUAAAGCUUUUGUAAACGAAUGAUGUGAGUGAGGUGUCACCAUUUUGUUAUCUAAGCCCACGGUGCAGCAUAUUUGUAACACAGUAAGAUAAAAUGCAUCACAGUUGUUCCUUCCUCUGGCAACCAGGCGAGAAGGCUAAUGAUGACAGAUAAUGGGAGGAUGCUGUGUAGGUGUUUAUAGCCUUUUCAGAAAUGUUGAGUGACUCACACAAGAAGUCAAAGGAGCAGCGUGUUAACACAGUGACUUUAAACUGAAAUCCCACAUCAUUUGUUUUAUAUCUGUAAAACUGUUGAUGUGGCAGUAAUACAUUUCACGCAGCAGUGUUCUAAUUCCACUAAAACAGCACCUGAGUAAUCACGCCGGUGUUGAGUUCACUUUCCCUGAGGGAAGACUGGAGGUAAAUUAAAAUACCUUUGAGCCAAAGCGGACAAUUAAAGCUACAACAGAGCAGAACAAGGCCUGACUUGGGGAUCAGAGUGUCACCCGCACAUAGGUGACAAUAGAUGGUUACAGAGGAUAAAAUAGGGGGUGAUCUUUUAACCCAGGGUGUGGGCAAUUAUCAGGGAGAAUUUGGGGUAUUCACUGCAAGCAGGAGGAAU